rnacentral:rRNA from 1 species
ACCGAAUAGAUACCCUGGUAGUCCACGCCGUAAACGAUGGAAGCUAACCCGUUGGCAGGUUUACCUGUCGGUGGCGCAGCUAAACGCAUUAAGCUUCCCGCCUGGGGAGUACGGUCGCAAGAUUAAAACUCAAAGGAAUUGACGGGGCCCGGCACAAGCGGUGGAGCAUGUGGUUUAAUUCGAAAGCAACGCGCAGAACCUUACCAGCCCUUGACAUCCCGGUCGCGGUUACGAGAGAUCGUAUCCUUCAGUUCGGCUGGACCGGUGACAGGUGCUGCAUGGCUGUCGUCAGCUCGUGUCGUGAGAUGUUGGGUUAAGUCCCGCAACGAGCGCAACCCUCGCCCCUAGUUGCCAUCAUUCAGUUGGGCACUCUAGGGGGACUGCCGGUGAUAAGCCGAGAGGAAGGUAGGGAUGACGUCAAGUCCUCAUGGCCCUUACGGGCUGGGCUACACACGUGCUACAAUGGUGGUGACAGUGGGCAGCGAGACCGCGAGGUCGAGCUAAUCUCCAAAAGCCAUCUCAGUUC